rnacentral:rRNA from 1 species
UACGUAGGGGGCGAGCGUUGUCCGGAUUCAUUGGGCGUAAAGAGCUCGUAGGCGGCUUGGCAAGUCGGGUGUGAAAACUCCAGGCUCAACUGGGAGAGGGCCGUCCAGACGGGGUCACUUGAGAGGCGGAGAGGGGCGUGGAAUUCCGGGUGGAGCGGUGAAAUGCGUAGAGAUCCGGAGGAACACCAAAGGCGAAGGCAGUGUCCUGGGGAGUACCUGACGCUCAGGUGCGAAAGCCAGGGGAGCGAACGGG